UAGAUAAUUCGUAGCCUUCCUCUUUCGCUCGUUGUUCAAUUUUGGGGGCGUGUAGCAGGGACGAGGAAAUCUUUCGUGUCGAGUGCUCAUCUAGGAGUAUUUGUGGGUUUUCAGGAGUGGUCAGGAGUAUCUGGUUUUGUCCUUGAAAAAGUUAACAGAUCAGGAGUAAGGGUGUGGUGGAUAGCUUAGCGGGGACUGUUGAGCGAGCACCAGUUGGUUAUCAUGUAAAUAGUCUUUCUGUUUGUGAACUUAGAACUGUUAUUUGUUUAAGCUUUGAACCUUGCACUUUUAGUUUCCGUGGAUCAUAGUU